GGGUUGUUUAAUAGUUCGAGGUGUUUUGGAAUUUUGCGAUGGAGGCCCUCCUGUAAGAACCAGUCUUUAUGUCUGGGUUUAAUUUUUAAAUGCAUUCUUGUGGACAAACUAAUCAAGCCAUUGCUCUACACUGACCUUUUCCAAGAUCACUUUGCUCCCAGCAGUUAUUUCAAAUUACCAAAUGUGAGUAGUAUAACCUGAUGAACCCUUACAGAUAUUGCAGUGAUCUUCUUUUCAAUUGCUUUUGGCUCAGUGUUCUUUUUUUAAAUUACUCUGUAGUCUCAGAGGGCGAAACUGAGUUUUUGGCCUUUGUCAUAUAGCCAUCCAUCUACAUGCAUUGAUAAUUUAACACCUUAUCAUAUUUCCAUCUUUUCUGAAAUAGAUGAAAACCAAAACAUCAGAAUUUACUAUUACAUUUCCAGGCUAUUCCCAACUAUUUAGAGAAUUGCAGAUUUCUUUCAAAGCUUAACAACGAACUCCCUGACGAGAGAAACUCCACUUAUAAGGAACGGUUCAUUAGCUUACAG